rnacentral:ncRNA from 2 species
CCAAUAUAGUGUUGCUUCGGUUCUUUCGAUUCCUAUCGAAAGCUAAGAGGGAAACCGGUGAAAUUCCGGCGCUGCCCCCGCAACUGUAAGCGGAUAGUUCGGCUGAUGACGCCACUGAAAGCAUGCUUUUGGGAAGGCCAGUCCGAACGGUGAUCCGCAAGCCAGGAGACCUGCCGCAAGCGCGAACGAUAA